rnacentral:tRNA from 1 species
GAAAGACAGGCUGAGGGGUAGAGUGGCUGUCCUGCAACCAGAAGGUUUGCGGUUCAAUCCUCAGUCUUCCA